rnacentral:rRNA from 1 species
GAUGAACGCUGGCGGCGUGCUUAACACAUGCAAGUCGAACGGACUUUUAAUGAAACCUAGUGAUUUAAAAGUUAGUGGCGGACGGGUGAGUAACGCGUGGGUAACCUGCCAUAUACAGGGGGAUAACACUUAGAAAUAGGUGCUAAUACCGCAUAAGCGCACAGGAUCGCAUGAUCCGGUGUGAAAACUCCGGUGGUAUAUGAUGGACCCGCGUCUGAUUAGCUAGUUGGUGAGGUAACGGCCCACCAAGGCGACGAUCAGUAGCCGGCCUGAGAGGGUGAACGGCCACAUUGGGACUGAGACACGGCCCAA